AUUGAACGCUGGCGGCAGGCUUAACACAUGCAAGUCGAGCGGGGGAAGGUAGCUUGCUACCGGACCUAGCGGCGGACGGGUGAGUAAUGCUUAGGAAUCUGCCUAUUAGUGGGGGACAACAUCUCGAAAGGGAUGCUAAUACCGCAUACGUCCUACGGGAGAAAGCAGGGGAUCUUCGGACCUUGCGCUAAUAGAUGAGCCUAAGUCAGAUUAGCUAGGUGGUGGGGUAAAGGCCUACCAAGGCGACGAUCUGUAGCGGGUCUGAGAGGAUGAUCCGCCACACUGGGACUGAGACACGGGCCAGACUCCUACGGGAGGCAGCAGUGGGGAAUAUUGGACAAUGGGGGGAACCCUGAUCCAGCCAUGCCGCGUGUGUGAAGAAGGCCUUAUGGUUGUAAAGCACUUUAAGCGAGGAGGAGGCUACUUUAGUUAAUACCUAGAGAUAGUGGACGUUACUCGCAGAAUAAGCACCGGCUAACUCUGUGCCAGCCGCCGCAGUAA
rnacentral:rRNA from 1 species